GCGGCGUGCAGGUCGUGGUGGUCGUCCUCGCAGUGGUGCUGGUGACGGCCGUGGUGUCGUGCGUCCUGGGAAACUCUAAGAUGGGCGCACGACUUUGGUCCGAGCGACGGUCCUCCCGUGCUGCCCAUCCCACCUCCGCCUCCCCCCACGCCCACACCGCCGUCACGCCUACCGCCUUCACACACUCGGUAUGUCAGUGAUGGAGGGGACGUCGCCAUCGCCGCCUGUUCCCGGGAGAUGAAGGUGACGCGGCGACAGGAACCCGUCCCCCUCAUUGAGAGCUGAGAGAGGUA